GACGCUGGCGGCAUGCCUAAUACAUGCAAGUCGAACGAUCACUUCGGUGGUAGUGGCGCACGGGUGCGUAACGCGUGGGAAUCUGCCCUUGGGUUCGGAAUAACAGUUGGAAACGACUGCUAAUACCGGAUGAUGACGUAAGUCCAAAGAUUUAUCGCCCAAGGAUGAGCCCGCGUAGGAUUAGCUAGUUGGUGAGGUAAAGGCUCACCAAGGCGACGAUCCUUAGCUGGUCUGAGAGGAUGAUCAGCCACACUGGGACUGAGACACGGCCCAGACUCCUACGGGAGGCAGCAGUAGGGAAUAUUGGACAAUGGGCGAAAGCCUGAUCCAGCAAUGCCGCGUGAGUGAUGAAGGCCUUAGGGUUGUAAAGCUCUUUUACCCGGGAUGAUAAUGACAGUACCGGGAGAAUAAGCUCCGGCUAACUCCGUGCCAGCCGCCGCGGUAA
rnacentral:rRNA from 1 species